rnacentral:lncRNA from 12 species
CCCAGAACAAGCCCAGCUGGGAGCACAGCUCAGCUCUGUACCAGGGGGUGAAAAAAAGAAGGGGAGCGGACGGAGAGCGAGAGGAAGGCCCCCGUUCCUACGGGCUCCGGCAGCCGAAGGGAGGAGUUAGUUUAAUUAGGGCCGCGCUCCCGGGAAUCGCGCACGGCCGGGCGGCAGCGAAAGUUGCGGCGCUCGGAGCUCCAGCACCGCGGACAGCGGCACCGGCACCGGCGGCAACACGUGCGGCAAAACCCCGCCUGCGGGACCGGGAUGGAGCGCACGGCAAGCUGCUCCAGUCGUAAAUUGUCGUCGCCCUUUGAGGAUGGCA